GAUCUGCACAGGAACCCACGGGCCAGACAGCUUAAACGUUAAGCAGUUACACAGUCAUGAAGCCCUAUCAGCAACACUUUGAAGGAUGCAGUGUCAUCGCUCCCAGUUUACCAAUGAUGAACCAGUCUUAUGGGAAUUAUAUAACAUGCUCCAGGUCCCCAAGGUAAGUGAAGGAUCCAGAAGUUGAACUCAGGCCUGUCUGGUUCUAAACGCCACAUUCUGGAACUCUGGGAUAGUAGCUUGUCUCCAGGAUGGACCAUCAAGCCAUCCCCUCCCAGUACAUUCACGACAUUCCCCUUUCAAGAGAUGGGAUCUCCUCCCUUCCCUUUGAAUCUGGGCUGAUGCUAGUGGCUUACUUGACCAACAGAAUGUGACGGAAAUGGCAUUCUGUGUCUUCAGGGGCUAGGUCAUAGAAGCCCUGCAGAUUCCAUCUGAGCCCCUUGGAACACUAACUCUUGAAGUAAGAAGCCGACUGCCCUGCUGAAAAGAUGAUGGGUGAGGCCCUAAGGCUACAGGGAGAUGAGGAGGUGAGCCAGCCAGGUCUCACCUUCCAGCCUUUCCCCUCAAAACACCAGGCAUGUGAAUGAAGCAUCUCGGACCAUCCAGCCCAGCCAUCAGCUGAAUAUCGCCACGUGAGCCCAGUAAAUGCCACAUGAAAUGGAAGAACCACCUGCCCAAGCCCUGCCUGAGUCCUGGACCCACAACGUUAUGAGAUAGAACAAAGUCGUUGGUGUUUUAAGUCAUUAAAUUUGAGUAGUUUGUUAUAAUGCAACAGGUAACCAGAACAAGGGGUCUUGUUGUUAUAGGAUCCAAAGUCUGAUGUCCACUGGAAUGAUGACCUCAUUGCCAUGAAGCUCUUCGGAGCAAAAUAAGCAAAAAAAAAAAAAACCAAAGAGUGAUCAUUCAAUGGCAACGAAGUCCCUGAAAGGCCAAAGAGGAGGAGACCCAGGCAAAGCAGUGUGGCUGUGGUAUGGCAGCACCAUGGCUCCGGAGAACUACCCUGGUUCCCUCUCUCAGAGUCUCUGUCAGAGUUGGCCCCAUGCUGAGUCAUCUCCCAACCCCCCCAAAGAUCCACAGCUAAUAUUGAGGAGACCUUUUGUCACCCUUAGUUACCUGCACAGCCCACAGAAGCAAACUCAGGACCAUUUGGGCAGAGAAUUCCUGUGCCAGGAACUUGUAAUGUGUUUUGUGGUGGGAGGGGCCUUGAGAUGGGCGUGACUCCCUGGCCCCUCAACUCCUCAGCACGCGGGAAGGGCCAGCACAGGGACCCCGGAGGUCUGUGUUUUACGGUGGUGUCACUUUCACUGCAUCCUGAAUCUUGUGCUAAAUCUCUCAUUUUGCUUAUCGUUUCAAAAAAAUUUGAUGCUUCAUGGGUAACAAAGUUCAGAAUUGAACUUUUUGCUUUUGACUGCAGUGCUUAAGAUGUUACUGAUUAUUUAGUCUAGAACAGCUUUUUGUCUGGACAUUAAUUGCGUUGUAAAGACUUUCUGGAGGUUCAUUGCACCAUUCCCACUUACCGCAAGAGAAAGCUGAGCUGUGGGGGACAGGGGACAAACCCCCACUCAGCCGAGAACAAAGACAAAGGCUGCCGGUCUUUAGGUCCAUGCUACAUGGCUUAUUUAGCAGAUUCAGAUGCAAUUACAGUGAAUGCAACACAUAAGGGAAACCAAAUGUUCAACUUCCCUGGAAAUAUACUGACUCACUGAAAGUGUGAGGACAUCCUACAAGCCCGGUCUAGGAUUGCAGCUCUCUGAGAUCUUGAAAGUUCUCCACACACACUUCUUGCCAUCUGCUCUGCACUCCGUGGAGCACCAUUUUGGUUCCAUGGCUCAGCCCCGCUUCCUGAACUACACAUGGGGGCUGAAGACGUUGACUUAGACCAUGCACCUGCCUUCAUUCCUUGUUCUCUACCCAGACCCACCCCCCAGCCUUCUCUGAUUGCUCUAUGUCCCCAGAAGCUGAUCCCUGUGGACCAGGAGGCUGUCACCAGGAUGGUGGGUUUCUGGUGGUGUCUGGGCAACAGAACACAACAGGAGAACUUGGGAGGUUAGGAGCAGAGAGAAUAAUACCUCCCUGUUCUUGCAACUUGUCCUAGCAGUAGCUGUGUCACCUGCUAUCACAGCUCCCACCAGAUGACCUUUCUCCACAGCUCAUAUCUCACCAUCCUCACCUUCCUGUCCACGUGGCCUUAAGGACAAUAACAGACUCCUGCUACUGU
rnacentral:lncRNA from 1 species